UAACCCUACGUCAGAAGACGUGAAGCAUGCAGACGCCAUCCAGCUCCCAGGGCAGACGAGACUCUCAUGACCUGCCAAAUGCUGCCAUUAAUUGCCAGUUGGUGCCGAUGUGCCCUGCCCCGCACCUUCAUGUCUGGUUGAGGGGACUGCUCCAGGGGUACCUGGUCCUGACAGUGGUAACAUGAACUCGAUCUCUGGACCAAUCAAAGGGAUCCACAAGGCUCUGACCUUUUCCUUCUGGACAGGGAAGGCAAGCAUGUUCUCAGAGAAAGGACUCCUCCUGUCAAAUGUUGGAUUCUUAAAGGACAAGGGCAUGACAAGAGCAAAGACCUUGGGAAAGCUGGUCUGUCACUGUUUGCAGAAGGUUCUAGAGCAGUGCUUCCAAAACUUGAAUGUGCUCACCAACUUCAAGACACAAAGCACAGUUCUGCACUGGGGCCUGAGAGUCUGGAUUUCCAGUAAGUUCCCAGGGGAUAGCUAAUGCUCCUGGCCCAUGGACUACUCUUUGAGGAACAAGGGCUUAUAUCAGUGAUUCUUAAGUGGGAGCAGAGAAGGCACGUAUAAGAACUGAAGGAAAUUCUUUCAGAAUACACAUCCCCCUCUUUUCCCACCAGGACUAUCAAAUUGGGAGAAAUGAGGGCACAUAUAUUUAUUUAAAGCUUUAUUGAGGCAUAAUUUACUACCAUAAAAUUCACCCACUUUAAGUGAACAAUUAAAUGAUUAUUUGUAUUAGUCGUACAACCAUCAUCACCACAAUCUUAUUUUAAAUAAUUUCCAUCAUCCCAAAAAGAAAACUUGCUGUUUGCCAUCAUUCCCCAUUUCCACCCCUAGCUCCAGAAAACUAUUAAUAUAUGAUCUGUCUCUGUAGAUUUACCUUUUCUGGACCUUUCAUAUAAAUGGAAUCAUUUA
rnacentral:lncRNA from 1 species